CCCCAGUCCGAUAGGUCAUGGAAUGACCCCAUGGUGCUGAGAGGGCA
rfam:Culex flavivirus isolate H0901, complete genome